UUAAUCUUUAUUAAUUAUAGAAGCUCUCACCUCCUGUCAAUCUGAACUCUCUCAAUCUCAAUCGCUCAUUCUCAAGUCUCAUAGUCAUAAUUUCACAAAUCGGAACCUGAGCCCUGAGGUAUGUUUUGGUUUUAUUUUUCUUGCUACGGUUUUAUUUCAUUUUAGUCAAAGCUAAAAUGGAUUUUGGUAUAAUUGAUGAUAAUUUAUUUGAUUAAUUAAUUCCAUAACUAAUUUUUUAAUCUUUAUUAGUUAUAGAAGCUCACACCCCCUGUCGUUCUCAACUCUCUCAAUCUCAAUCGCUCAUUCUCAAGUCUCAUCGUCAUAAUUUCAAAAAUCGGAACUUGAGGUAUGUUUUGGUUUUAUUUUUCUUGCUACAAUUUUAUUUCAUUUUAGUCAAAGUUAAAAUGGAUUUAGGUAUAAUUGAUGAUAAUUUAUUUGAUUAAUUA
rnacentral:lncRNA from 1 species